UGAAGAGAACUCUUAAAAACUCUGAUAAGAAGCAAUGUGUCUGCCUGCCUGACCCUCCAGAUGUCAUCAUGAUCAUGAUCGACUGGAUCUUCUCCGAUUAGUAAAUUGAAAUGAUCUCUUUCCUGUUUAAAUUUGAAAAGUAACCCACUCCCAGCCUGGAGACGCAGAGCUUGAAACAGUACUCACCCAGGUGGCAAGGAUGGCAUCAGUGUUCUUGUGACACAUCCACCGAGACGCUGGAACUCUGAGAGGACCCAUCGGGGACAGGCC